GAACGCUGGCGGUAUGCUUAACACAUGCAAGUCGAACGGUGUCUUCGGACAUAGUGGCGGACGGGUGAGUAACGCGUGAGAAUCUGGCUUUAGGUCUGGGACAACCACUGGAAACGGUGGCUAAUACCGGAUGUGCCCUUUGGGGUGAAAGGUUAACUGCCUGAAGAUGAGCUCGCGUCUGAUUAGCUAGUUGGUAGAGUAAGAGCCUACCAAGGCGACGAUCAGUAGCUGGUCUGAGAGGACGAUCAGCCACACUGGGACUGAGACACGGCCCAGACUCCUACGGGAGGCAGCAGUGGGGAAUUUUCCGCAAUGGGCGAAAGCCUGACGGAGCAAUACCGCGUGAGGGAGGAAGGCUCUUGGGUCGUAAACCUCUUUUCUCAGGGAAGAACACAAUGACGGUACCUGAGGAAUAAGCAUCGGCUAACUCCGUGCCAGCAGCCGCGGUAAUACGGAGGAUGCAAGCGUUAUCCGGAAUGAUUGGGCGUAAAGCGUCCGCAGGUGGCAAUGAAAGUCUGCUGUUAAAGAGUCUAGCUCAACUAGAUAAGAGCAGUGGAAACUACAUAGCUAGAGUACGUUCGGGGCAGAGGGAAUUCCUGGUGUAGCGGUGAAAUGCGUAGAGAUCAGGAAGAACACCAGUGGCGAAGGCGCUCUGCUAGGCCGUAACUGACACUGAGGGACGAAAGCUAGGGGAGCGAAUGGGAUUAGAUACCCCAGUAGUCCUAGCCGUAAACGAUGGAUACUAGGCGUGGCUUGUAUCGACCCGAGCCGUGCCGUAGCUAACGCGUUAAGUAUCCCGCCUGGGGAGUACGCCGGCAACGGUGAAACUCAAAGGAAUUGACGGGGGCCCGCACAAGCGGUGGAGUAUGUGGUUUAAUUCGAUGCAACGCGAAGAACCUUACCAAGGCUUGACAUGUCGCGAAUCUUGAUGAAAGUUGAGAGUGCCUUCGGGAGCGCGAACACAGGUGGUGCAUGGCUGUCGUCAGCUCGUGUCGUGAGAUGUUGGGUUAAGUCCCGCAACGAGCGCAACCCUCGUUUUUAGUUGCCAGCAUUAAGUUGGGCACUCUAGAGAGACUGCCGGUGACAAACCGGAGGAAGGUGGGGAUGACGUCAAGUCAGCAUGCCCCUUACGCCUUGGGCUACACACGUACUACAAUGCUCCGGACAGAGGGCAGCAAGCAUGCGAAUGCAAGCAAAUCCCGUAAACCGGAGCUCAGUUCAGAUCGCAGGCUGCAACUCGCCUGCGUGAAGUCGGAAUCGCUAGUAAUUGCAGGUCAGCAUACUGCAGUGAAUUCGUUCCCGGGCCUUGUACACACCGCCCGUCACACCAUGGAAGCUGGUAGUGCCCGAAGUCAUUACUCCAACCAUUCGUGGAGGAGGAUGCCUAAGGCAGGACUGGUGACUGGGGUGAAGUCGUAACAAGGUAGCCGUACCG
rnacentral:rRNA from 1 species